GGAGGCGGGGGGCAGAGGGAGGGCACUGCCGGGCUCUAAUCGCUGUUUCACAGAGCCACCGCUUCCGAGUUCCGACGAUUGGCUGCACGUGCUGCAAGGGCUUUUUUUCCUUUAAACCCCGACCAAACAAACCGGGGACGGGUCCGUUUGUAAAUACGACCACGCGCGCUCGGGAAAGGGACGCUUCGGUUCCUACAUUCGGGGCGUCCGUGGGCGGAGUGCCGCGGUGCGGCUCCGCGGGGCUCGGCGCGAGGAGCGGCGCUUUGUGUGCCCGCGGCCGCGGCCGCAGCGCGGCAUUGUCUGCGGGAUCCGCCGGCGGUGCCGGGCUUUGUGCGGGUGAUUCCCCUUUCUGCAAGAAUUCCCUGUCUCCGGGCUCCGUGCAUGCAGCAAAUGCGUUAUGGAGACGAGCGGAGCCCCCUCGCCUUAAAGAAAAGUAGAAAGGGAGCAAAACGGAGGGAUCCGAGCAUGCAGAAAGGAAAGACGAGACUCACGGCCGCUGGCUGCAGCAUGCACAGGAAAGAUCGCUACUUACCGAGCGGGAACUCCUCGGACAGGAGUUGGAAAAAAAUACUGCGGUGAUGUCCAGGUUUUCUUCCACCCGCGCUCGCUUUUUAUACAAGUGCAACCCUCUGUCUAUUUCUGGAACGCGAUCAAAACCCUGAUGCUAUUUUUAGCAGGUACUGGGGAAAAAAUCCACACACAAAGGCAUUUCGCUGGAACGCUACGUCCAAAACAUUAAAUGUGCAUUAAGUCUGCCGCCCCCCCCCCCCCCCCCCCACCCCGCACACAGCCACCCCCAGCCAUGCGUCCCCCUACCCCAGCUUCUUUCUGCACCACCAUCCACUGUUGCUUUAGGUGCAUCAUUGCAGAGAAUUAAAAAAAAUAAAAAAAAAUAAAAAAAAAAACCACUAAAAAACCAUCAACUGCCCGCCUUCCGUGCUGUCCUACUGCACAAACCCCUAAUCCACAGUUGUACCGAGUCUGUCUCUCUGCCUGUUGCCUUGCAAGCAUUACUGUGUCUGUCUUCUUGCAGUGUCUUUGUAAAGUGGGCUUGGGAGAAAACACAACAACCACCAUGCACCACUUGGCCAUUGUGCACAAACGUGGGUUUCAGGCGGGGAUGCUUUGCCGGGAGACUGAGGUGGCUCCAUACGGUGAAUUGCACCCAGCACAAAGAAGGGCUGCUGGGGUUUUUUGUUUUUUUUUUUUUUGUUUUUUUAAUUCUCUCCUCGCCCCCUGCCUUUCUCCCCCUUAAAAAAAUACCAUCCUUUGUUUGGAGAAUAAAGGAUCUAUAAAUAUAUAUAUGAAAAAAGGGCGUGUGUGUGUGUUUGCGUUCUAGUAAUUCACUACGAGGGGGGACUGGGGAAAAAAUAGAAUCAUUAGGGCUUGCAGGCUGCAAGGAGCCAGCCUGAGACUCCUUUGCAAGGCUGCGUCAGUUAUCAGCUAUUGACG
ensembl:lncRNA